CAACUACUUCCUCUGUCCGAAAAUACUCAUCAAAAUGAACAAAACGAAAUGUAUCUGGAGCAAAAAUACAUCUAGAUACAUUUUUUUAUUCAUUUUGAUGACAAGUGUUUCUGGACGGAGGGAAUACUAU
rfam:Triticum aestivum genome assembly, contig: Triticum_aestivum_CS42_TGACv1_scaffold_288223_4AL